UUGCACGGGGUACAAAUAUGCCACUACCGUUAGUUGACCGUUAAGUAAAAGAUGAAAAAACAAUUUUGCCCCUAUGUAAUAUGUUGAUGUUCCAUUUACAACAAAUUACUCAUUUUAGAAAACUUAGCUUUUCAAGGUUUUUAGGAUGCUCAUAAUACCAUUUCCGAGUAAGUUUCAGCAAUAAUGAUUGUAGCAUGAAAAAUUGUAAAAUUUCAAUAGCACUUCCCUGUGAUUUUAAUUAACAUCACAAAAUUCAUAAUAGAUUCAGCAAAUUAAUAUACUAAAACUCAUCAUAGUUUGUGGAGAGAGAGAGGGGGAGAAGAGACCGAGAGGAUAUUUUAGUUCUCUUGUUUCUUUUUGUUUUUUUUGACCUGUGGACCAGGAGUAUUUCGGUCAAUAUAAAAUUGACUUAACGGUCAACUAGCGGUCAACUAACUGUAGUGGCAUAUUUGUACCACAUGUCAA